UACAGGGGGUGCAAACGUUGCUCGGAAUCAUUGGGCGUAAAGCGCACGUAGGCGGUUCGUUAUGUCGGAUGUGAAAGCCCUUGGCUUAACCGAGGAAGUGCAUCCGAAACUGGCGAGCUAGAGUACGAAAGAGGAUCGCGGAAUUCCCGGUGUAGGAGGUGAAAUUCGUAGAUAGUCGGGAAGGAACACCGGUGGCGAAGGCGGCGAUCUGGGUCGAUACUGACGCUGAGGUGCGAAAGCGUGGGGAGCAAACAGG
rnacentral:rRNA from 1 species